rnacentral:rRNA from 1 species
GAUGAACGCUGGCGGCGUGCCUAAUACAUGCAAGUCGAGCGAACGGACGAGAAGCUUGCUUCUCUGAUGUUAGCGGCGGACGGGUGAGUAACACGUGGAUAACCUACCUAUAAGACUGGGAUAACUUCGGGAAACCGGAGCUAAUACCGGAUAAUAUUUUGAACCGCAUGGUUCAAAAGUGAAAGACGGUCUUGCUGUCACUUAUAGAUGGAUCCGCGCUGCAUUAGCUAGUUGGUAAGGUAACGGCUUACCAAGGCAACGAUGCAUAGCCGACCUGAGAGGGUGAUCGGCCACACUGGAACUGAGACACGGUCCAGACUCCUACGGGAGGCAGCAGUAGGGAAUCUUCCGCAAUGGGCGAAAGCCUGACGGAGCAACGCCGCGUGAGUGAUGAAGGUCUUCGGAUCGUAAAACUCUGUUAUUAGGGAAGAACAUAUGUGUAAGUAACUGUGCACACCUUGACGGUACCUAAUCAGAAAGCCACGGCUAACUACGUGCCAGCAGCCGCGGUAAUACGUAGGUGGCAAGCGUUAUCCGGAAUUAUUGGGCGUAAAGCGCGCGUAGGCGGUUUUUUAAGUCUGAUGUGAAAGCCCACGGCUCAACCGUGGAGGGUCAUUGGAAACUGGAAAACUUGAGUGCAGAAGAGGAAAGUGGAAUUCCAUGUGUAGCGGUGAAAUGCGCAGAGAUAUGGAGGAACACCAGUGGCGAAGGCGACUUUCUGGUCUGUAACUGACGCUGAUGUGCGAAAGCGUGGGGAUCAAACAGGAUUAGAUACCCUGGUAGUCCACGCCGUAAACGAUGAGUGCUAAGUGUUAGGGGGUUUCCGCCCCUUAGUGCUGCAGCUAACGCAUUAAGCACUCCGCCUGGGGAGUACGACCGCAAGGUUGAAACUCAAAGGAAUUGACGGGGACCCGCACAAGCGGUGGAGCAUGUGGUUUAAUUCGAAGCAACGCGAAGAACCUUACCAAAUCUUGACAUCCUUUGACAACUCUAGAGAUAGAGCUUUCCCCUUCGGGGGACAAAGUGACAGGUGGUGCAUGGUUGUCGUCAGCUCGUGUCGUGAGAUGUUGGGUUAAGUCCCGCAACGAGCGCAACCCUUAAGCUUAGUUGCCAUCAUUAAGUUGGGCACUCUAAGUUGACUGCCGGUGACAAACCGGAGGAAGGUGGGGAUGACGUCAAAUCAUCAUGCCCCUUAUGAUUUGGGCUACACACGUGCUACAAUGGACAAUACAAAGGGCAGCGAAACCGUGAGGUCAAGCAAAUCCCAUAAAGUUGUUCUCAGUUCGGAUUGUAGUCUGCAACUCGACUACAUGAAGCUGGAAUCGCUAGUAAUCGUAGAUCAGCAUGCUACGGUGAAUACGUUCCCGGGUCU